rnacentral:rRNA from 1 species
GACGAACGCUGGCGGCGUGCUUAACACAUGCAAGUCGAACGGAAAGGCCCUGCUUUUGUGGGGUGCUCGAGUGGCGAACGGGUGAGUAACACGUGAGUAACCUGCCCUUGACUUUGGGAUAACUUCAGGAAACUGGGGCUAAUACCGGAUAGGAGCUCCUGCUGCAUGGUGGGGGUUGGAAAGUUUCGGCGGUUGGGGAUGGACUCGCGGCUUAUCAGCUUGUUGGUGGGGUAGUGGCUUACCAAGGCUUUGACGGGUAGCCGGCCUGGGAGGGUGACCGGCCACAUUGGGACUGAGGGACGGCGCAGACGGCUACGGGAGGCAGCAGUGGGGAAUAUUGCACAAUGAGCGGAAGCCUGAUGCGGCAACGCCGCGUGCGGGAUGACGGCCUUCGGGUUGUAAACCGCUGUCGCCUGUGACGAAGCGUGAGUGACGGUAAUGGGUAAAGAAGCACCGGCUAACUACGUG